rnacentral:lncRNA from 1 species
UAGAGUUACGCGUACAUAAAGAAACUUUGAAUACAUAAACGUAAAAAAAAAUGAAUGUUUAAUUAGAUAACUUUAGUAUUUAUCUUCUUAAACAUAUUAUUUUUUAUUACUUCAAGAUGCUGAAGUGUUUCUUCGUUUGACACCAGCUAGACAAAGUGGGCGAUUUCCCUGCUAGCACGGGACCGCAGAUAGGAGAAGAUGAGCCGACCUCUAUGACAUUCUAAAUGCUCUGCAGCAAGCUUCUGGUGACACAAAUACAGCGUCCAAAGACAGAUCAGUGAAAAGAUGGUUAGAUACUGCAGCCACGAGAAUCAGCUAACGUUGCCAACGUUACAGAUAGUGGACCCAGCAUAAAGACGUAUUGCAUCACAGCGUUAUAGUUUACGUUUACGUCACUGACGUCAAUAGGAUUCGGAAACGUGUCACCAAAUACUAAUGGAAUUGACAUGCCGGUAAAGAUGAUAUAUUUGGCGGUGACUGCAGUGACGUGGAAUGCUCGGGAAAAUCGUUCUAUUUUGUACGUGCCCUUAGUUACUGUGAUAUUGACAAGAUAGAGUUACACGUGCUGAAAGAAACAAUGGAUAUAUAACCAGAAUUUUCAAAAAGAAUGAAUGGGUAAAAUACAAGUGACAUUCAAUCUUAAGCUCGACGAAUGGGACCACAGAUCGGAGAAGAUGAGCCGACGUCUGGAGCAUUCAAAUUUUCUCCGCUACCAGCAAGUAGUGGUAUAGAUUCGGCGUUCAAAGACAGAUCAGUCAAGACGAACAGUUGACGGAUGUUUCAUUUCUUCAUCAAAUUCCAGCCAGUACGUCAAAGCUACAGUGUGUUUUCGGUGUAUCUAUAAGGUCAUUCUUAGAAACAUCAGACAGUUGAGCGCCCUCUAGUAGUCGGCGCAUUUCCAGCUUUGAGCGCCCUCUGAAUGUCGGCGCAUUUCCGGGAAGCUGGUGAUACAGCGCCAUCUGGAAAAAAAUGAGACAGACGUCGCUGUCUAACCUCGAGGAAAUCGACUGCAAGUGAAACUGUUUAGCAAAGUAUACAAAUAUAACAUGGAUUUUUAAGAUCUUCCUUGUUGAAAAAAUUUCAUGUAAUAUGGUGCUGCGCACCAGCCGCAUUGAAAUUAUAAAAAUGAGAUUAGUAUUUUGUAUUUUCACAUCCUAAAUGAAAUUCAGCAGCGUUAAAGACACGCCUCAAAAUAACUGUCUUUUUUUUUUAUUUCAGUGAUGGUAAUCAUACCUAAUGCAUGAAAAAUAUCAGAUAUACAAGAAUUUAAUUUCAAAUUGACAGUGACAUAUAUUAAGCCAAGACGAUGAGUUAAAUGUCUUAAUAUUUUAUUAUAUUCUUAAAACUUUGCUGAAGAGAGAU